UUGCAUGUAAAAAUGUCUGCCCCUCAUUCCUUUAGGGGUAGAAAUACAUCCAUAACAUGCUACAUUAAAAACGGAGUUCUCAGGGCUGCCAACCUUACAGUAGAGGUUGCAUGGUAGUAUAUUUCUCAUACAUAA
rnacentral:snoRNA from 1 species